rnacentral:misc_RNA from 1 species
AAACGGGGCAGGCAAAGUACGAACGUGCGAGGCAGGCAAGAUGAGCCCGAACGGGUGUCACACACCCGGAGGCACUUGUUUGCUGUUCACACCCCUGCAAGGGUGGGGAAGACGAGCCGCGUGCCGGCUGGCGCAGUCGAGCGCAGGGCCCGCAACGGCCACCAUAUGCCGGUAUAACGCAGCUUUUCACCACAUUCCACACGACCGUCCCAGCGCCGGUGAUUCUGGUCAUGUCAGCUGGCGCUCGGCGCAAGCAUCUCGAAAUUUUAUCAGAUGCGCCGGGCCGCGGGAUACCGCCACUGUCGCUGGCGCGGCAUUUCAUCCUUCGCGGCUGCUGCGCAUUCCUAUGAUGCCGCCACUUGUGCGCAUCGCGGACGCGGAGUCUACGUCGAGCCGUUCCUCUUGUGCCGCCUCGUAUGGAGCUCGAGAAGACGUUGACGACGGUGCCAAGGCCGUCAUCAGCGGUACCGUUUCACCUGCUCUAGCUCGGGAGCUUUCUCUUCUCUCGAGCGAUGACCUAAUCCAGCGCAUACACCGAUUCAGUCGCUCCAACUUUGUUGCUGCGCAGCGGCCGCUGCUCUACGCGCAUCUUAAGGAGUUCAUGAAGCCUCAGCGUUUGGCGUACGCGUCUACCAAGACGGUUCAAGACCACCUUCAAGUCGCGAACGCAGCUGACAUGCAUGAGACAUGCAUCGAGCUCUACCACGCCGCCCGAGAGCACAUGCCCGCCGCAGCGCUCAUGCUACGGACUCCCUGUGCUCCUCUAACUAAUGGUUCUGUCACCGGGGCCGGGCAGCCGGAUGCCCGCGGGCACGUCGGCAUUUCUACAGCGAGCGGCAGCGGCACCAAUUUGGCCGCCGAUGCUGCGGUGCUUGUAAGCGCGUUCGUGGUGGAUAGCGCGUACGCCACACAGCGCACCUCGGAGCUCACACGACUGGCCUCCUACUGCGUCACGCAAUUGCUGGCGCCUCUGCAUGCAGAAGGGCAUGACGCCGCCACAGGAGAUGCAAGCCCCGCGGCCGCGAAGGUUUUGCGGUCGUUGGCGGUUCGCACGCCGCGCGAGGUGGCGACAGAGCUGUCGCUGGUGCGUUGCUUGUGGCGCGCAUUAUGCUUGGCAGAGUACUACAAGUGCGCCGAGGCGACCAGUACGCAGGCGGUGAAAGGGUGCAAGGAGCAGGCGCUUGCCGACGCUCUGGCGAUUCUGGAUGCGUGCCGGCAGGUGGCUUCCGUGCGGAGGGAGGCAGCCGUGGCGGUGCUGGCUGCAGCGGCGAACGGGCAGCCUUCUUGGCACGAGCACUCAUCCUCUUCAACGACAACACCGGCGCUAUCGGAGAGGCAGUCCUCGGAGUUGCUGGCCGAGGCACUGAACUUUGUUCGCUACGCCUCCCUCGACGAUGAUGGCGAGUUCGCCUUCUACCAGUUCUGCAAGGAGGAGAGGAUUCUGUGGUCACCACAGCCACUGUCGUGGAGUGUGCGACGUGAAACAAGUGAUGCCGCGUCGUCGCUGUCCUCUGCAGCCGGGGCUGGCGGCGCGAACCUGCUCGCGUACAGCGAGGACGAGGUGCAGGUGUUCUACGCCGCGCUCAUCGAUACGUGUGCCGCAGGGCGGCUUGUCCCCGAAGCGCUGCUCUACUUCACCGAGGCGAGACGCCUUCUUGGUUGUCCACCACUCGCGGACGGCGAGGACAUAGGUGCGGAGACGGUGUUGCUGCUCGGGACAGAGGACGGAAGGGGGCCUCGAGUCAGUAGCGUGGCGGCAGCCACCACUUUCAAGACGUCACGGGAAGCAGUCGAUGCUGUGCCGCGUGCACUGCCACCGGCAACAUCUGCCGCCUCUGCCGCAAGCAGCGACCUGGGUAUGUCUGCUCCUCUUUCUCCACCGAGUCACCCAGUAACCGUUUCUUCCGGUGUUCAUGGUGGCAAGGUCGGCUUCAGCACUGCCACGGCUGGCUUUGCCUUGACGGAGCUUCUCCUUCACCGACUCCUUUCUAUGCUGCAGGCGGCCAAGGAAAACCACCACGUAGUGCGCCUCGCGCGAGCGCUCAUCGCAGCAGGGACCGUCUCGCAGAUAAAGGCGCACAUGUGGACGGUGCUUCUCAUCUCCGCUGGUGCCGUGCGGGCGGCGGACGUGGUGCUCGCGGUGUACAGCUACGCCUUGGAGCGACUGGCCAGCCCUACAGGCAGUGACGGCAGUAGCGGCAGGGGCUACACGACUGCUGAGGUGUGCACACUGGAGUACCUCUUGCAAACCUCACUCAACGCGCUCUCCAAGUGCCAGCUACCACGCUACGAGCAAGACUACCUCCAGCCCGCGCGCGACACGCAGGUGCUGCAUUGCACCGACGAGUUCUAUUACAGCUGCCUUCUGCAAGAGGCUCACAACUCCAUGUGUCCGGCGCAGCGGGCGGCCGAGGUGCUGGCGAGGAUGGAGGAGGCAAAGGUACCCAUGACAACGCCGAUCGUCUCACGGCUGCUGAAGCUGUACCUGCGAGUGGAGGCGCCAGAGUUCAUCACGGUGUACCGCCACGCCGUCGACGACCUGGGCCUGCCGCUGCGCUCUGUGUGGGCCGACCAGCUCCUGCUUUGGGCCGACCGACGCCGCUACUUUCUCUCUGCCGAUGACCGUGAGUACAUUGUGCAGCAGCUGCUGCGCUCGAGGCGAGUGUCGACGGUGGCUGACCUCCAGCCCCUGCUCGGUGGCCUCCGCACGCACUUCGCCCUUCUCUAUUAUGAUCACACGCACGCCGCGCGCGAGCAGUUCCUCAGAGACGGAUCAGUGCCAGUGGAGCAGCCAACUGUGACGGACUCCCGCGCGCAUUUUCUGAUGACACGGCCGAUGAGCGUGCAGCGGGGCAUCAUGGCGCGUGCGGGGACGUCGUGGGUGUGUAAUGGCGCAGGUGGCGAGGAGCUGGUCGAGGAGGAAACGAAGCGACACGGGAUCUUGCCUCGCAUGCUGGGCGAUGCGCCCCGCCGCACUCUGCAUGCCGGCAUCGCGGAGCUGUCGGAGACGCCACUGCUGUUUCCUAUCUCUGAUGGCACUGCUGGCGCGGGCGACUCGGAACGGCUGCACGACAGGGCACUUCGAGUGUAUUUGGCCGAUGUCUUGGACGGACUGCAGCGCUCUUCCAACUGGGUGAUAUAACGGCCAGCCGGGAGUGGAGCCGUGCAGCGCAGAAAACGAAAAACGGUGGCUGCUGCCGCCGUGGUGAGUGCUUGUGUGUUGGACCAUCAAGAUAUAUAUAUAUAUAUAUAUUUGCAAGCCGUCUUGUGGCUUGUGCGCGUUGGAUGUCGCGUUGGACAUCAUCACCUCCGUUUCUUUUCCUCUUUUGUUUUGACUUGCAG